UAAUAGUUGUAACAAUUAACACAAGAUUACAAUAUUUUCUUUUAAUGUGCUUAUUUGCUCUUCGAGCAUAUAAUAAAAAGAACGUAAAACAUGUACGUGAUACAAUUAAUAUAGAAUAGUGUAGGUCUGACUCACGGUGUCCAAGUGGUGUGGCCAGAUGACGGGGAAGAGUUAGUCUGGAUGAUAUUGUGCAUGUAUACUACUACGGUACUGCCGUAGUCCGUAUACAAAGAUAGGCGGUCAGAGGUCGGGGUUGUCGGUGGCGUCAGUGACUGGAUCGCUGCUGAUCUUGAGUCCUGGGCUGCGGGGUCGUCGGCGUUCGGAUCGCUGUUGAGCUUGAUCGGCGUCGUCGGCGUUCGGGUUGCUGUUGAGCUUGAUCGGCGUCGUCGGCGUUCGGGUUGCUGUUGAGCUUGGUCGGCGUCGUCGGUGUUCGGGUCGCUGUCGAUUAGUAACUAUAGUACUUCGGAGACCACGAUACAGGGCGUUAAUACAGGCGAGCCGUAUUCCUCUGUACCAUCUCCGUUAUACUAUAGCUAGCUAAUCGGAAGAGCGGAUAACUUGCUUUUCUGACCAUCGACGGGCCGUAUUUAUGCCUAGUCACGUGCUUCUCGGGCGGCAGUUGUUCGGGAAUGCAUUGCUAUGUUUUGUCGUAUUUCGUUCGCUUAUCUACGGCUUUUGCUAUUGUAUACAGGUAUUACGCAUUUAUUAAUCGAUCCCGAUGAUGUUCGUAAUGAUUAUUAACCGGCGGACGACCUUUGAAUAUAGUAAAUUGUCCGUAAACACCAGUUAAUUAAAAGUAUGAGCGCGAUAGCGCUAUCUGUUGCGCGCAUAAGGUAACACUGGGAGACGCACCGCGUAAUUUCUAGUACGACCGUAGGCCGCGGGUAGUGGUAGUCGUAUGACAUAACGAUUUCUCGUUACAA